UACGGGGGGGGCAAGCGUUGUUCGGAAUUACUGGGCGUAAAGGGCUCGUAGGUGGCCAACUAAGUCAGACGUGAAAUCCCUCGGCUUAACCGGGGAACUGCGUCUGAUACUGGAUGGCUUGAGUUCGGGAGAGGGAUGCGGAAUUCCAGGUGUAGCGGUGAAAUGCGCAGAUAUCAGGAAGAACACCUAUGGCGAAGGCAGCUCUCUGGGACGGUACUGACGCUGAGGAGCGAAAGCGUGGGGAGCGAACAGG
rnacentral:rRNA from 1 species